rnacentral:rRNA from 1 species
CGUAGGUAACCUGCCUUGUAGCGGGGGAUAACUAUUGGAAACGAUAGCUAAUACCGCAUAACAAUGGAUGACCCAUGUCAUUUAUUUGAAAGGGGCAAAUGCUCCACUACAAGAUGGACCUGCGUUGUAUUAGCUAGUAGGUGAGGUAACGGCUCACCUAGGCGACGAUACAUAGCCGACCUGAGAGGGUGAUCGGCCAUACUGGGACUGAGACACGGCCCAGACUCCUACGGGAGGCAGCCGUUGGGAAUCUUCGGCAAUGGGGGCAACCCUGACCGAGCAACGCCGCGUGAGUNAAGAAGGUUUUCGGAUCGUAAAGCUCUGUUGUUAGUCAAGAACGAGUUUUANANUGGAAAGUCACACUGUGACGGUAGCUUACCAGAAAGGGACGGCUAACUACGUGCCANCCGCCGCGGUAAUACGUAGGUCCCGAGCGUUGUCCGAAUUUAUUGGGCGUAAAGCGAGCGCAGGCGGUUUGAUAAGUCUGAAGUUAAAGGCUGUGGCUCAACCAUAGUUCGCUUUGGAAACUGUCAAACUUGAGUGCAGAAGGGGAGAGUGGAAUUCCAUGUGUAGCGGUGAAAUGCGUAGAUAUAUGGAGGAACACCGGUGGCGAAAGCGGCUCUCUGGUCUGUAACUGACGCUGAGGCUCGAAAGCGUGGGGAGCGAACAGGAUUAGAUACCCUGGUAGUCCACGCCGUAAACGAUGAGUGCUAGGUGUUGGAUCCUUUCCGGGAUUCAGUGC